UACGGAAGGCAGCAGUGGGGAAUAUUGCACAAUGGGCGCAAGCCUGAUGCAGCCAUGCCGCGUGUAUGAAGAAGGCCUUCGGGUUGUAAAGUACUUUCAGUCGUGAGGAAGGUGUUAAGGUUAAUAACCUUAGCAAUUGACGUUAGCGACAGAAGAAGCAUCGGCUAACUCCGUGCCAGCAGCCGCGGUAAUACGGAGGGUGCGAGCGUUAAUCGGAAUUACUGGGCGUAAAGGGCACGCAGGCGGUUAAUUAAGUUGGAUGUGAAAUCCCCGGGCUUAACCUGGGAAUGGCAUUCAAGACUGGUUAGCUAGAGUCUUGUAGAGGGGGUAGAAUUCCAUGUGUAGCGGUGAAAUGCGUAGAGAUGUGGAGGAAUACCGGUGGCGAAGGCGGCCCCUGGGACAAAGACUGACGCUCAUGUGCGAAAGCGUGGGGAGCAAACAGGGAUUAGAUACC
rnacentral:rRNA from 1 species